rnacentral:rRNA from 1 species
ACAGCAGCAGCCGGGGAAUACGUAGGGUGCAAGCGUUAAUCGGAAUUACUGGGCGUAAAGCGUGCGCAGGCGGUUAUAUAAGACAGAUGUGAAAUCCCCGGGCUCAACCUGGGAACUGCAUUUGUGACUGUAUAGCUAGAGUACGGCAGAGGGGGAUGGAAUUCCGCGUGUAGCAGUGAAAUGCGUAGAUAUGCGGAGGAACACCGAUGGCGAAGGCAAUCCCCUGGGCCUGUACUGACGCUCAUGCACGAAAGCGUGGGGAGCAAACAGGAUUAGAGACCCGAGUAGUCCCUGUCUCUUAUACA